GAUGAACGCUAGCGGGAGGCCUAACACAUGCAAGCCGAGCGGUAUUGUUUCUUCGGAAAUGAGAGAGCGGCGUACGGGUGCGUAACACGUGUGCAACCUGCCUUUAUCUGGGGGAUAGCCUCUCGAAAGGAAGAUUAAUACUCCAUAAUAUAUUGAACGGCAUCGUUUAAUAUUGAAAGCUCCGGCGGAUAGAGAUGGGCACGCGCAAGAUUAGCUAGUUGGUGAGGUAACGGCUCACCAAGGCGAUGAUCUUUAGGGGGCCUGAGAGGGUGAUCCCCCACACUGGUACUGGGACACGGACCAGACUCCUACGGGAGGCAGCAGUGAGGAAUAUUGGUCAAUGGGUGCAAGCCUGAACCAGCCAUCCCGCGUGAAGGACGACUGCCCUAUGGGUUGUAAACUUCUUUUGUAUAGGAAUAAACCUACCCUCGUGAGGGUAGCUGAAGGUACUAUACGAAUAAGCACCGGCUAACUCCGUGCCAGCCGCCGCGGUAA
rnacentral:rRNA from 1 species